AUGUAGCAAAAAGAUGUCAAAUCUUAAGUAAUAGUAAUAUUGUGAAAAAAAAGGUUAAAUUGAAAAAAAUUAUUUAGGAAAUAAAACAUGACAGGGCAUGCAGUGUAUAAGAUGAGAAAACUGUACAGAAAAUCUCAGAAGGUCAUUUAAUCCCACGGAGAACAAGCACACUAAGGAAGACAGAGGCAUCGACAAGCACAAAGAAGACGGCAACGCAUUUGGGCUCCAUUAGGUUUUCAGGACAGAUGGAUUAUCCAAGACCAAGCACUGAUCGCAUCAUCAGAGCAAUGUUCAAACAACGUGGUGAGAAAUAAUAAUUUAUUUAUUGUGUUCAGUCUUAUUCAUCUUUAUUCUUUUUAAACACUAACGUUCAUUCAUGAAAGAUUCUACACAUUUGCCUACUGUAAUCGAUAUUUAAUUAUCAAACAAUCAUUUGAACACAAUUCUAGCUGUCAAAAAUUUAAAAUGUAGUAAAUAUACAGUAUAUAAAAACAGUAAGUCAGUCUAGGUGGUGCACGCUACUUGGACUUACAUAGUCUUUAGGAUUACAGUGCUUUCGUGCUUGAAUGGUUAUGUUGUCCCCCUUUUUUUCCAUGCUUACACAUGCACUCGGACUAGAACCUGAGGUAUGGAAGCAGUGAAUUAAGUUUAAAAAAGAAAUCUUAAUAUGUUUUGCCCUAGAUGUGAGCAAAUAAAAAGAGCCUGCCUCCUGAAACCUGUCUCCAAUGUCUUAAUGCAGCUCAGGGAAUUAGUGUGAGGAUUUAAUCCUGCUACAGCGACUGCUCACUAAUCAGAAGUGACAGAAUGAAUACGCGCUGCUUACAGGACUAAGAGCUAAGAGUAGUAACAUGCUGCAUUUUCAGAGCAAACAGGAUUUUGAAGAGCAGCCUAUGAGGGGAAUCUACUUUUAGUUUUGUUAUUUAAUGUACCUCUAGUGCAUUUAUCCACUUCAAAUUUACACGCAUAAUGUCUUUUGACUUUGUAAUUAUAAGUAUGAACAGACAAUAGUAUUCAUAAGCAUAAACAAAUAUGUGUUUAAAAAAAACAUGGGAUCAUAUACACAAUUUUCUUUCAACUAUUGCCAAAGAGUUCUGUUUUUGUUUCGUCUGACAAGAGUAAAUUGUUCCAGCAAAGUUCUGAUUUGUCUGAAUGUUCAUGUGCAAAUUUUAGACAUGCAUCUCUGUGCUGCUUUUUUUUAGAAGAGGAGAUUUGGGUGUAGAAACGGAGAUGAUUGCGGUGCUGUUCAUUGCUUAUUGUUCACUGUGUAACUGUUGUUCCUGCUGCUUUCAGGUCAUCCUGCAACUCUUUUCCAGUCACUGCGGGCUUACGUUAAAUAACAAAAACAAAAGUGUCUGAAUACGACUUUCCCCUUACUGUAUUUGAACAGUGUCAUAAACUCACACUAUCAUAAGGAUCACUCAAUCAAAAAAAUUGUUUAAGUGUGUUUUAGAAGCAAUAACAAAGCAAUACUGUAAUUUCUAAUGAGGUUGAAGACAUGGGUGGGGGAUCUUGGAUCCUUCUCUAUACAGAAGUUUAUAAUCUUUCAGACCACAUGAAUGCAUUUAUUUGAAGUAUUAUUUAGGGGUGUGAAUAAUUUUGCAAGAUAUUGUUAAGAGAAAAUUAUAACUGUUAUUAGAAUUAUUUUUCUUAGUGGAAAGUGGACUGCAAAAUAGAAAUACACACUCAAAAAUAUGAAUGUCCUUAAUCUCAGUAAACUUUCUGUGUGCGUUGAUCAGUUGUCCAGUUUAUCUAUAGAGGGUCCAGAGGAUGCAGAGCUGGUGUAUACCAUGAGAGAUCUGCCCCCCAGAGCAGGACACACAUUUCCUAGCCGAGAGACACAUGUGAUGGACAGGGACCCGGAUGGCAGAACCCGUCCUCACACUCCUGGCACUUUUAUGCGUCGAGUGGGAAAGAACCUGCAGGGCUCAGAACCAGACCUGCUGCACCGCUGUCACUUCAGUUCCACCAGCUCUCUAGAGCCUCCGCUUAGUCCCUCCCGAUCUAAGAGCCCAUGGAGUAGACAAGAUCCAUAUGAUUCCCCUGAGGACCAAGAUAAGGAAUAUGUGGGAUUUGCAACACUUCCCAACCAAGUACACAGGAAAUCUGUGAAAAAAGGCUUUGCCUUUACGCUGAUGGUAGCUGGGGAGUCUGGUUUAGGAAAGUCCACGUUGGUCAACAGCCUGUUCCUAACAGAUCUCUAUAAGGGCAGGACACUGCUGAAUGCAGAAGAAAGGAUCACCAAAACAGUGGAAAUCACCAAACAUACCAUUGGCAUUGAGGAGAAAGGCGUGAAACUCAAGCUCACCAUUGUGGACACGCCAGGCUUUGGAGAUGCUGUCAACAACACCGAUAGCUGGAAGCCAGUAGUGGAUUUUGUCGACCUUCAGUUUGAGCAGUAUUUCAGGGACGAGAGUGGGUUGAACCGCAGGAACAUUCAGGACAACCGAGUGCACUGCUGCCUCUAUUUCAUCUCACCAUAUGGUCAUGGCCUCAGGCCGGUUGACGUGGAGUUUAUGAAGGCGCUACAUGAGAAGGUUAAUAUAGUGCCUUUGCUGGGCAAAGCAGACUGCCUCACACCACUGGAAGUUUCACAGAAGAAAAAAAAGAUACGAGAGGAGAUUGAGAGGUUUGGCAUCAACAUCUACCAGUUCCCUGAGUGUGACUCAGAUGAGGAUGAUGAAGUUAAAAUCCAAGAUCAAGAUCUGAAAGAUAGUAUUCCCUUUGCUGUGGUCGGCAGUAACAUUCUUGUCGAAAUCAAAGGCAGGAGAGUCCGAGGCCGCGCGUAUCCUUGGGGUGUGGUAGAAGUGGAAAACCCCACCCACUCGGACUUCCUGAAGCUUAGGAACAUGCUGGUUCGUACCCACAUGCAAGACCUGAAGGACGUGACGCAGGAAACCCAUUAUGAGAACUACCGCUCUGAGUGCAUCCGGAACAUGACACGCAUGGUGGUCAGAGAGAGAAAACGCAGGUCUGCACACAAUACACAACAGGUCACUAACUCAUAUGCUAAAGAUCUACCUUCCUGACACAAGGGUCCACAAGGAUGUCUGGUGCUUGGAAACUUUAUUUUGGAAGGCAGUAUGAUGGUAGGUGAAGGUUGAAGGUCGCAAUGUGAUUGGCUAGUUACCCUUCCAUGUGUACUCAUUUCCAUACACCGCUUUCCACCAGGAAAACAAACUUUUAAACACAGUGACCCAUUGAGCCUUUUAGAGCAAGUCUGUGUAACUAUCUGAGAGAGAGCAAUACAGACUUACCUCUGGUGCCUUUGGACGAUGAAACAGAGCAGCUCAUUUGGGAGAAGGAUGAGGAGUGAGCUCUUUCCAGACCAUGGCUUCAGCAGUUGGAUGAAACCCAGAUCUACAAAGAAUGCAAGAGAUGCUGCAAAGGAUCCAAGAGCAGAUGCAGCAUGGAAACUGAAACAGAAUAUGACACAUCCAGUUAUUAAUUUGUAAAAAUAAGUAAAUAAAUAAAUAAAUAAAAAUUUAAAAAAGGAGAACCUGGACAAUUAGCAUGCAAAGUAUUUGCUCUGCAGUGUAGUUUGCUUACUUACAUAUCAAGUACCGUCUGUAUAAAUUUUAUCCAAUGACAAAAAUAAUAAAAAAAAGAAUACAGCACAAAUAAUUUUGUAAAUGUAAGAUUUAUUAUGAAUAGUCAUUAUGUUUUUUU